AUGGCGGGGGAACGGUGGUACGACGGUCUUCAUAAAGGGUACGACAAAGACCAUCGUGCGCGGGACAUUGAGAAUAACAGGGAACUAACACCUAUGCGCAUGAGGGGUCAUAGUGCCCACAACUGGCCGUGCGACGAGCGGUAUGAGCCAUACUUCGAGAGAUUGGGCCUUCUCCCGUUCGUGCUUCAGUUCAAGCGACACGCUCCGUCGAUCAACCAUGGGGCGAUGACCGCACUUAUUGACCGUUGGAGGCCAGAGACACACUCGUUCCACUUGUCAUGUGGAGAGAUGACCGUGACCUUGGAGGACAUGGCGAUGAUCAGUGGCCUUUCAAUCAAUGGAGAAGCUUUGACCGGCACCACCGUAAGUGCUAAUUGGCGAGAUCGUGUUGGCCAAUUGACAGGUGUUUUCCCCGAGCCUCCUGAAGAAGGCGAGCGUGACAGUGAGGAAGUGUUGCAUCAUUGGCUCCGAGGGGAGAGAGGAGUAGUAUGCCCUCCGGACGCCAAUGAGGUUGUUGUGCAGCAGCACGCCCGAGCAUAUCUGUGGUAUCUGUUAACGAGGGUAGUGUUUCCAGAUUCUACCGGUAAUAAAGCCCAGUGGAUAUUCUUGGACCUACUAAGUGACUGGGACCGUAAGUACAGUUGGGGUUCAGGAGCACUAGCAUAA
rnacentral:rRNA from 1 species